rnacentral:ncRNA from 1 species
UCACGUUUUUACAGCUCAAAAAUGAGCUGAGCAGCACGAAAAGAAACCUUCAUUCACAUAAUUGGCGGCUGAAUGCCAAUGGCACAAAGCUGCCAUCUGCUGGAUAAUGGCUGAACGCCUCUAAGUCAGAAUCCAUGCUGAAAACGAUACUACUGUGUUUUGAUUGUGCAAAAUGAGCAUUACUAAUAAAACUUCGGCUUGAAAAAUUUACUUGCGAGCUAGAUUUAGUAGCAGAAACGCUGCUAAAUCUACUUACUAAUGAUGCUAUGACCGAUACAUCAAAAUGAUAAAGCGCAUGCAGACAACAUGGAUUGGAUGUGGUAUUGCAAGUACUAGAGUGGCCUUAUCAGUUGCGAGGACGAGCUGAAAUCAAGCUUCUGUCAUUAUAUUU